AUUGAACGCUGGCGGCAGGCCUAACACAUGCAAGUCGAGCGAGCGGCGGACGGGUGUGUAAUGUGUGGGGAACUGCCCGCUAGGGAGGGAUAACUACAGGAGAAGGUAGCUAAAACCGCAUACUAUCGGAUGUGCCCCGAUGGGGUUAGCUAUUGGGGGGGGGAACGGCUCACCUAGGCGACGAUCCCUAGCUGGUCUGAGAGGAUGACCAGCCACACUGGAACUGAGACACGGUCCAGACUCCUACGGGAGGCAGCAGUGGGGAAUAUUGCACAAUGGGCGCAAGCCUGAUGCAGCCAUGCCGCGUGUAUGAAGAAGGCCUUCGGGUUGUAAAGUACUUUCAGCGGGGAGGCGUUACUCGCAGAAGAAGCACCGGCUAACUCCGUGCCAGCAGCCGCGGUAAUAC
rnacentral:rRNA from 1 species